rnacentral:rRNA from 1 species
ACGGGCUCACCUAGGCGACGAUCCCUAGCUGGUCUGAGAGGAUGACCAGCCACACUGGAACUGAGACACGGCCCAGACUCCUACGGGAGGCAGCAUG